AAGCCUUAUCAACAAUUUUAAAGAUGGAUUUUUGCACUUGGACAAUUAAACGUUGUAGGUUUCAUGCGUACGUUUGCUGUAUAUCGUCAAAUGGCAAAAAAAACAUGCUUACUUUAUGUAAAUACGUUGCGGUGAAUCGAUCAUGUAGAGACAAAUGGAUAAAACUGUGACAUGGAGUUGCAUCAUUAUUGCAGCCGAAUUAUUGUGCGUAUACAAUUCGAGUACAAUUGUUCUCGUAUCAACUUGAGACUGAUUUUUAUGCAGCCACUAAACAGUCAAAAGCUGUGAUCACAACGGGAAACAAACUUUCAUCUAGUAACCGCAUAACUUUCAUUUAUAAAUGAAAGGUCAAAUUUCGAAAUUUGAACAAUAUUCAAAAACCUUUGGCUUGACUGAUAGCCGAUUUGAUAGUGCGACCGUUGAGGUCACAGUGCUCAAAUCAUGAUCUUCAUUUUUAAACUGAUUUUUACAAUCAAAAUUGAUUAGAAAUGAAGAUUUGUGCACUACUAGCACAAUUUCCUCAUUGGGGUUUGUGUAUAUGAUUUUAGCGAUGUCUGAGGGUAUAAUAACUCGAUUUGUUAUGCGAUGCAUUAAAUUAUACUAUACAUAAAUUGGAUCGGUGUGGUUCAUGAGAUUAACUUUUACGACUUUGUUGGGCCAUUUUAAGUGUACUGUCAAAGUACUUUUGUAUGCUGAGAUAUCAAUAUUAAUCCGUGAUCAAAAAUGUUGUAACGCAUAUUAUACAAUAUGUAUGACUUUACUUUAGAAUUAAAAUUUCUGGUAAUAAACUUUAAUCUAAAUAUGGGAUAAUUAAAUAAAACAAUGCAACGU